GACGAACGCUGGCGGCGUGCUUAACACAUGCAAGUCGAACGAAGUGGCGAACGGGUGAGUAACGCGUAAUCAACCUGUCCUUCAGAGGGGGACAACAGUUGGAAACGACUGCUAAUACCGCAUACUGAAGGAGGUGAUUGCGUCUGCUUAGCUAGUUGGAGGGGUAACGGCCCAACAAGGCGAUGAUCAGGAGCCGGGCUGAGAGGAGGAACGGCCACAUUGGGACUGAGACACGGCCCAGACUCCUACGGGAGGCAGCAGUGGGGAAUCUUCCGAAAUUGACGAAAGUCUUACUGAGCAACGCCGCGUGAGUGAUGACGGCCUUCGGGUUGUAAAGCUCUGUUAAUCGGGACGCGGUACCGGAAUAGAAAGCCACGGCUAACUACGUGCCAGCCGCCGCGGUAAUAC
rnacentral:rRNA from 1 species